rnacentral:rRNA from 1 species
GACGAACGCUGGCGGCGCGCCUAACACAUGCAAGUCGAACGAGUGAGAGAGAGCUUGCUUUCUCGAGCGAGUGGCGAACGGGUGAGUAACGCGUGAGGAACCUGCCUCAAAGAGGGGGACAACAGUUGGAAACGACUGCUAAUACCGCAUAAGCCCACAGCUCGGCAUCGAGCAGAGGGAAAAGGAGCAAUCCGCUUUGAGAUGGCCUCGCGUCCGAUUAGCUAGUUGGUGAGGUAACGGCCCACCAAGGCGACGAUCGGUAGCCGGACUGAGAGGUUGAACGGCCACAUUGGGACUGAGACACGGCCCAGACUCCUACGGGAGGCAGCAAGUGGGGAAUAUUGCACAAUGGGGGAAACCCUGACUGCAGCGACGCCGCGUGGAGGAAGAAGGUCUUCGGGAUUGUAAACUCCUGUUGUUGAGGAAGAUAAUGACGGUACUCAACAAGGAAGUGACGGCUAACUACGUG